GACAGAUGGCCGAGAGGUCCAAGGUGCCAGGCUGUCCUCCGGGCCGUGGGUUCGAAUCCCAGUCCUGGCA
rnacentral:tRNA from 1 species